UGCCAGCCGCCGCGGUAAUACGGAGGACCCAAGCGUUAUCCGGAUUUAUUGGGUUUAAAGGGUGCGUAGGCGGAUUUAUAAGUCAGUGGUGAAAUCCUACAGCUUAACUGUAGAACUGCCAUUGAUACUGUAGAUCUUGAGUACGGUUGAGGUGGGCGGAAUGUGUCAUGUAGCGGUGAAAUGCUUAGAUAUGACACAGAACACCAAUUGCGAAGGCAGCUCGCUAAACCGUAACUGACGCUGAGGCACGAAAGCGUGGGGAGCGAACAGGAUUAGAUA
rnacentral:rRNA from 1 species